AUGCUUGACGCACUUAAUUUCAAACAACCAUUUUGAUCGCUUGUCUUAUUAAAAAUUAUUUUUAUUUUGAUUUGUUUUAUCAUUGCAAGUACUUUAAGUACAACUUAUAUCAGCGCAAAACUUUUUAAGGUUUCAUCCAUGUGGAGCAGUAUGCAGCACUUGUCUCCUCCAGAGAGCAACAAAGGAAGCAUAUAUCUGAUGAGUGGGUCGGCGUGCGUGGUGGGGUUGGGAAUGGGUGGUUUUGGUGUGGUGGGCAUGGCCGAGCAAGCUUGUCAGAGCAUGCACUAUGCAGUAACACGGCGAGUAGCCCCAUCCUUCAAUACCCGAGAUUCUUGUCCAGCUCGGACUCAAGCGCGCCCCAGCGAAGCUCCCCGUCCCCUGCAGAGGGAACGCAUGGCUCGGCAGACUUUCUGCAAAAGCAAUCAAUUUUUUGUCAGAGAAACAACUUUUUUAUUAGAGAAGGGAGAGGCGAGCAAGCUACCUUGCCUCCGCCGGGACGGGCGCCGAGAGCUCGCCGCCG
rnacentral:lncRNA from 1 species